UGUCAGUCGGUGUCCCAAGGGUGGUGAUCUACUCAGUGGGAGUAUCACAGCCCUGCUUGGGACACAUGCUGGCAGC
rnacentral:pre_miRNA from 1 species